rnacentral:rRNA from 1 species
AACUCGACACAUGAAGCUGGAAUCGCUAGUAAUCGCGAAUCAGAAUGUCGCGGUGAAUACGUUCCCGGGUCUUGUACACACCGCCCGUCACACCAUGGGAGUCAGUAACGCCCGAAGUCAGUGACCCAACCAGAGAUGGAGGGAGCUGCCGAAGGCGGGACCGAUAACUGGGGUGAAGUCGUAACAAGGUAGC